rnacentral:misc_RNA from 1 species
AAUGCGAUACGUAAUGUGAAUUGCAAAUUCAGUGAAUCAUCGAGUCUUUGAACGCACAUUGCGCCCCCUGGUAUUCCGGGGGGCAUGCCUGUCCGAGCGUCAUUUCUGCCCUCAAGCACGGCAUGUGUGUUGGGCCCCGUCCUCCGAUCCCGGGGGACGGGCCCGAAAGGCAGCGGCGGCACCGCGUCCGGUCCUCGAGCGUAUGGGGCUUUGUCACCCGCUCUGUAGGCCCGGCCGGCGCUUGCCGAUCAACCCAAAUUUUUAUCCAGGUUGACCUCGGAUCAGGUAGGGAUACCCGCUGAACUUAAGC